UACGAAGGGGGCUAGCGUUGCUCGGAAUCACUGGGCGUAAAGCGUCUGUAGGUGGUCAAAUAAGUCAACUGUUAAAUCUUGAGGCUCAACCUCAAAACCGCAGUCGAAACUAUUAGACUAGAGUAUAGUAGGGGUAAAGGGAAUUUCCAGUGGAGCGGUGAAAUGCGUAGAGAUUGGAAAGAACACCGAUGGCGAAGGCACUUUACUGGGCUAUGACUAACACUCAGAGACGAAAGCUAGGGUAGCAAAUGGG
rnacentral:rRNA from 1 species